AGAGUUUGAUCCUGGCUCAAGAUGAACGCUGGCGGCGUGCCUAACACAUGCAAGUCGAACGGACUCAUAUUGAAACCUAGUGAUUUAUGAGUUAGUGGCGGACGGGUGAGUAACGCGUGGAAAACCUGCCGUAUACCGGGGGAUAACACUUAGAAAUAGGUGCUAAUACCGCAUAAGCGCACAGCUUCGCAUGAAGCAGUGUGAAAAACUCCGGUGGUAUAUGAUGGUUCCGCGUCUGAUUAGCUAGUUGGCGGGGUAACGGCCCACCAAGGCAGCGAUCAGUAGCCGGCCUGAGAGGGUGAACGGCCACAUUGGGACUGAGACACGGCCCAAACUCCUACGGGAGGCAGCAGUGGGGAAUAUUGCACAAUGGGGGAAACCCUGAUGCAGCGACGCCGCGUGAGUGAAGAAGUAUUUCGGUACGUAAAGCUCUAUCAGCAGGGAAGAAAAUGACGGUACCUGACUAAGAAGCCCCGGCUAACUACGUGCCAGCAGCCGCGGUAAUACGUAGGGGGCAAGCGUUAUCCGGAUUUACUGGGUGUAAAGGGAGCGUAGACGGCAGCGCAAGUCUGGAGUGAAAUGCCGGGGCCCAACCCCGGAACUGCUUUGGAAACUGUGCAGCUUGAGUGCGGGAAAAGU
rnacentral:rRNA from 1 species